rnacentral:lncRNA from 1 species
UCCAAACAAACCUACGUAAUCUUGAUCCCUAGUUACCAUACCUACUCCCUCUAUACAUCAUCAUCGUCAAAUUCCUACUCUCUAAACAAACCUACGUAAUCUUGAUCCUUAGUUACCAUACCUACUCCCUCUAUACAUCAUCAUCAUCGUCAAAGUCUUUUUUUAACUAAUUAGAAUCAACUACAUUAAUCAUGGUUUGUUAUUUUGCUCUAUUAAGGAUCAUACCUUUAGUAAGGCCAUAAAUACCCCUUGUAUUUUUUUAGCCUUCCAUUUCAACUAACGCACAUCUCCUAAAAGGUGUUGUAUUGGGUUUGCGUCACACAUGACCAGCUAACCUAAGUCUAUUCUCUCUCAUCUUAUUGUCUAUUGGUGUCACACUUAAUGCCUUUUUGAAUGUAUUCUUUUUUAAU